rnacentral:rRNA from 1 species
AACGAACGCUGGCGGCAGGCCUAACACAUGCAAGUCGAACGCUCCAGCAAUGGAGAGUGGCAGACGGGUGAGUAACGCGUGGGAACCUUCCCUAUGGUUCGGAAUAGCUCAGGGAAACUUGAGGUAAUACCGGAUAAGCCCUUCGGGGAAGGAUUAUCGCCAUUGGAUGGGCCCGCGUAGGAUUAGCUAGUUGGUGAGGUAACGGCUCACCAAGGCGACGAUCCUUAGCUGGUCGUGAGAGGAUGAUCAGCCACACUGGGACUGAGACACGGCCC